AGAGGUGACGCCUGCCCAGUGAAAACUUUUUAACGGCCGCGGUAUCCUAACCGUGCAAAGGUAGCAUAAUAACUUGUCUCCUAAAUAGAGACUAGCAUGAACGGCUAACUGAGGGCCCAACUGUCUCCUAUGACCAAUCAAUGAACCUGACCUCUCAGUCCAAAGGCUGAAAUACACCCAUAAGACGAGAAGACCCUGUGGAGCUUUAAAAACACUACUUCCAAAACUAAGCAGCCUUUUUAAGUUGGGGCGACUACGGAAAAAAACAAAACUUCCACGAACAAGGCUAACCCCCAUACCACCAGGUCAACAAACCAACAAUUAAAUCUUUGACCCAGAUAAAACUGAUCAACGAACCAAGUUACCCCAGGGAUAACAGCGCCAUCCUCUUCUAGAGCCCAUAUCGCCAAGAGGGUUUACGACCUCGAUGUUGGAUCAGGACCCCCAAGUGGUGCAGCCGCUACUAACGGUUCGUUUGUUCAACGAUUAAAGUCCUACGUGAUCUGAGUUC
rnacentral:rRNA from 1 species